rnacentral:rRNA from 1 species
CAGCCGCCGCGGGAAUACGUAGGUGGCAAGCGUUGUCCGGAAUUAUUGGGCGUAAAGGGCUCGCAGGCGGUUUCUUAAGUCUGAUGUGAAAGCCCCCGGCUCAACCGGGGAGGGUAAUUGGAAACUGGGAAACUUGAGUGCAGAAGAGGAGAGUGGAAUUCCACGUGUAGCGGUGAAAUGCGUAGAGAUGUGGAGGAACACCAGUGGCGAAGACGACUCUCUGGUCUGUAACUGACGCUGAGGAGCGAAAGCGUGGGGAGCGAACAGGAUUAGAUACCCCUGUAGUCCCUGUCUCUUAUAC